AAUUUACAGAUGUCAAAUAAUAGGCUAAUUUGUCAUAAUGUUCUAGUUUAAGAUAAUUCCUAGGCUGGUCUCAAAACUCCCGACUUCAAGUGAUCUGCCCGCCUCAGCCUCCCAUCUCAAAGUGCUGGGAGUACAGGGAUAAGCCACUGUGCCGGGCCAAUUUUGCUUGUUUUAAAGGGUUUUUUUUUUUUUUUUUUUGAUAGUCAGUAAUUGUUCAAACUAGGAAUUGUAUCCCCAUCUUUCUUUUUUCAUAAUUACUCAAGUAACUGAUGAGUGUAACAGAAGCUCCUCAAAACAGUUUUAUUAAAUUGCCUUUCAUUUUU
rnacentral:sRNA from 1 species